UCCAACGGAUGCAUUUUUUUUUAUUUAAGAAGAUUUGUUAAAUUUAAACAUACAAUAAUAAACGUAUCUCUCUGUGUAUUCAUAUGCGUCUAUAUUGCGUGCUAUUAUAGAGGAAAGGAGAUUUAGGUUUAAGUGACCGCAAGCCCGUAACAAUAUACUGGAAACUUAGUCUCUUAACAUCUUCUUAACACGUCAAUAGGCCAAUAAAAAACAUUAUUAGUAGUCGUAAUAGACUAGAAAUUGACAACGAUAACGACGAGAGCAUGCCGUGUAAAAUUGAUUUCACUCGUUUACCGUGUUAUAACGGAAAAUUCACGCUGAGAUUAUUGAUAGAGAUAGAGUAAAAAGGAUCGCGCGUUGCCCCGUGGAGAGAAUUGGUUUAAAUUGGUUUAACUUUUUGAGGCACAGUGAUAUAGAACCAAUAUAUCUAAAAAUUCGCUAUCCAGUUUAAUUCGAUUAAGCUUUUAAUUGCAUAAUAAUGCAUAAUAAAUUUUAUUCAGAUUAUUUUGUGCAAAACAAAAAUCAACUAUUCAAAAAGAUAAAUUUUCUUCUUUUUUUUUUUUUUUUCAAAAAUAGAUGGUUUAUGUACAACGUUAGUUAUUGACAUUUUUAGAGAAAAUUCCGUGUCCCAUGGAAUUAAUAAAGUCAAUUCUUGAUGAAAUAACUGCGUUGGAAUAUCCGCGUCAAAAAGCUUCGAUGUGUUUCCAGAUACGACAACAGCAUGGCGUAAAUCCUCGUUGCGAGGGAUUUACUAAUUCGGCGACAGCAUGUCGGGGGAUGAGCGGCGUGCAAAAUUUGAAUCUUUAUCUCAAUAAAGCGGGUACAGGUCGAGCGACAGCAGAGUCUGUUCCGCGUUCUAUGCAAAUUUUAUCGUACUUGGCAUGCUAAUGUCUCACUUAAAUCGAUCCGCGAUCGCCGGUCCGGCAUUAAACCACUCGCUUCUCCCCUUCGAGUCCCUAAACACUUGUUUUACACCGUUGGUGACGCGCGAGACGUGUAUCGCGUUAAGUUAAUAAGGACAGCCGCGGAUAGCCGGAAUGAAUCGUGCCAUUAAUGCCCCGGAGAAGAGCUCUGGGAAAGUGAGAUUUUCCUUAAACGAGAGUUUAACAAAGUUCUCGGUUAUUACGACAGAAUAGCCAACUUCCGUGAUAAGGAGGAGGAGGAGGAGGAGGAUAGGGUAGCGAGGCACGGCCAACUUCUCGCUCGCCGGAAGGGUAAAUAUUUCUCUUUUUCUUUUUCGGUGCGCGCAAGGCUCAGCAAAUUUUUAUCUCGAGCGAAAGCAUUAAUUUGCGAAAAAAACGACGACACCGGAAGUUCGGCUGCCACGCUCGCGGGCGACGGCCUUCGCUCCUUCGCUCGUUCGCUCGUUCGCUCGUUCGCCUCUCCCGUCCCGUGUUCUCGGUGCUUUCGCGUCGCUCUCUCUCUCUCUCUCUCGAAGAGCGCUUAACUUUCAUCGCGAAACUUUGGUAUCAUCUUGCAUUUAUUAAACCCUCUAGCGUAUUUGGCGAAUAUUUCUCGGUAUCGCUAUGUCAAUGUGCCGUAUCGUUCCGCCUCGCCGUGGUAAAAUAUAAACAAUCUUCCCGAUAAAUUUGCCAGAACGAUCUUAUUAAUGUUUGCGCGAUUACGCGAUAUUUGACGGUCGGCAAAAGUAAAACAGUAUUCCGCGUAGUUACGUUUCGCGUAAUUAAUGUCAAGUUUGAUAGAAAUGCAGCGGAAACCUCGAUCUUUAACGACGUUGGAAAACUUGGCCGGAAAAACGUGCAUUUUCAAGCGAUGUGAGAUACUUUUCAGAUACCCACGUUAAAACACACUUAAUGAACUUGUGCUUUUGACAAAGUAUUUACGACCGCACAUAUUUUAAAGUCUCGACAAAUUAUAUAGCCGUCGUCGCCGCCGCAUCUUACGUCACUUACGCACGGGAAGGUGUCUCGUAAUAUUCUACAGCCAAACUAAAGCACGAAGUUCCGUAAGAGGCUAAUGCGCCGCAAUAUAUUCGUGCGCAAUAUAUUCUGUGUUAGAUUAAUUAGCGCACCUCAUGUAAGAUUUCCGCGCCACAUUUGAUAAUUACGCCGCGAAUAUAAUUUGCGCUAGCCUCUCUCUUACGAGCUACAACUCAAAGGAUGCUUUCGAUCCUUUUACGCCACUUUUUAAAUAAUAUCAGACGACUGCAUUGCAGCUCGGUUAUACGUUGUAUCGGUUUAUAUUAUGUUAAUUAUCCAGCCAGUAAAAUGCAAGUGAAUGCAACAUGAAAUGUAAUGAAAAUAGUUGAUGUUACGUAAUAAUUGACCUAAUGGCUAGUCGCAACGUGAAAUUUCCAUAUGAUGCGUAAUAAAUGCAACGUACGACGUACAAUACAUGCGAUUGACACAUGUACAAAGGAGGUAAUUAUAUAAAGCUCAUGAUUAACGAAUGUUUCGCAUCGACUUCGUAGAAGGAAGCACCAUCUGCAUGCACAACGUUUAAAGUCUCAUUCAACCGCACGUUGUCAACCGGCUGUAAACGCGUUUACGACUGCUCAUUAAAUCCAUUGUUGCGCUCGACUUGUUGUCAAAACGCUAUGUUUAUGUACGACUAUAGUCGUCUUGAAAGACGUAUUAUCGCCUUUAAAAUUUUUCAUUGUGCACGACCAGAAAAGCUUCAGUCUGCGAUCUUUAUUGCGAAUAAAAAUUUUUUCAUUUCGUGCAUCCGCGACUUUGUUAUUUAUUACAACAGAGUUUUCAUAAAAAAACAAGAAUAUAAUAAAGAAUUAAAAACGAUAUAACGCUAGCGUGCAUGAUGGAAUUUUGAGAAAAACAGAGAAAUAGAAAUAUAAAAUUUUGCAUAUUUUGGAAAAAAUUAAAAUAUAAAUAUCAUAUAAAAAGCUAUUUUUAUAAAGCAAAUGAGAAUUAUUACAUUUCACAUUUUCUGUAUUUACUUCGAUAAAAUUCUUAAUAGUUAAAAUAAUAUUUUAUUACGUUCUUUUACAGAAUGUAAUAUUAAGUAUUUUGCAAAACUAAAUAUUUGCCUCUUUUUUUAAAAUAUUUUGCUAGAUAUCUUUUGUGCACGCCUUGUUUUAAGUUUUCUUAAAAACUCCUAUUCGCGUGCGAGCUCUCUCUCUGUAGUUAUCUCGAACUUCUCUCAAUGUAAAUAUGAUCCUAGCAAAGUCGCUUUUUAAACUUUUCUUGAACUCGUCGUAAAGACCGAUAAAUGUUUAACUCGUCUUUGUAAUCCGAUAGAGUCAUUUACUAACGGAGAUGCCCGGCACGCGGACACAAUUUCGUUACAAUACGAAAUCUUUUCAAUUACAGUGCAAUUUGUUUGACAGUUGGAAUUUUUAUUAAAGUUAAGCGAUUUUUCGAUAUACGUUACGCAUUUUCGCAUUACCUCUCCACACGCACACACACAUACACUUUUCGCACGGUCCAGCGUUUUUGCAAGAGAGGAUUUGUUUGAUGUCACCAUAGCUGGCAACCGUUAAUACUGAAAGAGUAGAUAGUUAAAUAAUGCUUUUUUACGAGAGCCCGACUCGUUGUCGGAGUAACAGCUGAUAUAUAGUGCAUGUCAAAGCGAAAUGGCGGCUACGGUGUGCAAAACGGGUUGAGGCUUAGCAUACGAAUAUCCGAUUCUCUGUUUGUGGGUUGCUACGGCGGUCUGAUUUACAUAGUUAUUAUGAUAUUAUGCGGCUGCAAAAGGAUUUUUAUCAUCAGCGCUGUCUACGCCACGAAGGGGGAAAGGAGGUACAAGCCGUGACAUACGCUUCCUUUUCUUCCACGUCGUUUUUUUAUCGCGUUCACAUUACCCCGCGACGGAUUAGAUAAUAUAAAUCUGUCAAACUCCGUCUCUCAGGUUUUCGUUCGUCGUAUUUUCGAAAGUUUUCAUUUCGCCUGUUGUUAAAAUAGAUAAAAAAUAUUUUUUUAGAAACGUCUGUCGUGCCAUCGUUCCAUCCGUUUUUAUACAUAUUUCACGUGUAUCUCUAAAAUCAAUUUGAUUUAACUUUAGAUUUUAUAUUGUUAUACUUAAUCCUUUUUUUCUAGUCUUUGCUCUUUUUUUCAACUUUGUUGAUAUCUCUAAAUACGUUUUAUUAUACUAAAAGUUAUAUUAAGACGAGAUUGACAUGGAACGAGAUUGCAUGUCUAUAACAAGUACCACUCGUCGAACGUAUUUUACUUCAGCCUUACUGAAGUUUUAUUUUAGCGUACCAAUAAAGAUGCAGACUUUUCAAGAGGUUUUUUUAACCAAAACGAUGACAUAAGCGGAUUAUCGAACCAUCACUCUGGAAGUUGAGAGGUUUUAUAAGUUUCUUCAACUUUAUUAGUCAGUCAUAAUCUCGCCCGAUUACUUUUAUGUGUUUAAAGAAAAGCUUAAUUAUCGAUAUUAAUAAUUUUAAUAAUUAUUGUCAUUAAUAAUUAAACAGUAGUACAAGAUCAAUUUUUGUACCUAGAAAAUAAGUAACAUAAAGUAUAAAUAUUGAAAAAGCAUAAUUGCGCACGACAAUAAUAACGGAAUAUUUGUUUAAAUUGAAAAGAAUUAAAUUAAAUUGUAAUCACAGUUUUGGCAUUGAGCGAAGAAAUACAGUGAGAAAACUUACUCCUCGCGCGAACCUUGUUUCAAGUUUUAUGUAUUUUAUAACCAGAGCGCAGAGCUCCCUUAUUCUCGAAGAGAAAAUCGCAAGCUAUCGCAGACGUGAUGCGGGCAAUUUUCCAAGUGAUUUUGGUAUACACGUGUAACGGGCGAGAGAAAUCGGUAUUUCUCACAACUUACGGCGGAUGUCGGCAAUCGAUCAACGGCAGAGAGAGAGAGAGAGAGAGAGAGAGAGAGAGGGAGGGAGAGAACUCGACUUGAGAACCUAAUAAACGCCUGCCCGGCUCUUCCUCGCCUCGGCGAAGGCUAAGCGGCGCGAUACCAAAGCGGAUUAUUGAAACGCCACUCGAAGUCGAGGAGGGAAAAGUCUGUCGGUCUUAGCCAGAUUCGCGGGAUUUUAAAUUCUCACGGCUCGAAUCCCUGCCGAAACUUUUCUCCAUCGCGCCGCGCCGCUCCGCUCCGGGCCGUAAAUAUAUAUACCGUUGGCUCGCGUUAGUUUGCUAUCCCACAUCCUUCCACCGCCCUUUCCACAGGCGCAAGCUGUUACACCGUUCGACCUCCAAAUACCGCCGUUGCACCCCCGUUGCAGACGCAACCGCCCUUCUAGUGGUGGUGGUGGUGAUGGUGGUGUCGGCGGCGCGGCGGCUCGCUGUCCCCAAACCAAUGCAUUUGCCGCUGCCGUCGACUGCGCCGCGAUAAUUCCAUUUCCGCGAAGCGGCACGAAUUCGAAGUUUAAUUAAUCGAAUUCACGCUAUCCUUGUCCAUCUCUCUCUCGCUCUCUCCGUUUCUCUUUCUUUGCUCCAUCCUCUCGUUUUCUCUCUCUUUCUCUCUCGUUCUUUCCUUAGUGGCCUCUCUCUCGCUCACCGCGAUUCCCAUCUUCAGUUCACCCCUCUCAAGGGGGACAAGCUUCGAUCCCGGAAAUUAGUAAGAUCGCACAUGCGGAACACGGAGGUUUGCCGCCUGGUGGUACGCUAUAUAGAUAUAUAUACGUUCGUACCUUAACAUUACAUGCAUACCGAUACACACCGAUACGAUCGUAUGCAAGUCGAUGCACACGAUCGCGUAUUCGCGUUACACAAUGCACGUCGCGUUGCCUCGCUCGCUCGGUCGAUCGGUUAAUACGGCGCGGAAAUGUGUACCGUCCUGAGACGGCGGUGAAAAGUUUACCGGAGUCAACGAGAAAUUUACAAGCGUUCAACGCGCUCGAUCGACCGCCUUGAACGGCCGUUUCGAUGGCUUUUCUUUCUCGUUUCUCGCGCGGAAACGCGAUCGACAUUGAGCGAUGCCGUGGUGACGUAACCGAAUCCAUUAUUCUGAGAGGCAAAACGCGCUCGAUAAAGAAAAUUAAUAUAAACACCCUGCCGCGCGCAGGACGAGAAGGUGUUGUUGAACUGUUUUUCAUAUCAUUCGUUUUCGUAAUCUCCCCCCAUAUAUAAUAAUAUAUUCCACCCUAUGGUAUAAUCAAAAUUCUGCUUAAGUAAAUUCCACUCCUACUUGAAAUUAACUGAAAAUCAAGGGCUCGCUAUACAUAUGUAUUACUAGUUUAGGAGUUUAGUUUGUAAACUGGCUGAGAUUAACUGCGCGACGGCAUUGUGUGUUACGCGGGCGUUGCACAUUAUGCUCCAGCAUCGUUAAAACACAAUUCGCCCGAGUCGCUUCAUUUCACUCGCGCGGAACGCAAAAAUUAUUAUUAGCACGUCCCCAGUAUUUUCGUCGACAAAGGAUCCAUUACGCGGAGCGUGGAUGCGAAUUUGGAAUGGCCCCUUACGAAGAAUGCGAUUCUACUUGUUGCAAUAAACACGAACGCAGACGCGGCUACCUCUGCCUGCUGCUGCUGCUGUCCAUGUGCGGCAAAUUAAAUAUUUCAGCAUUAAUAGAAGCGAUAUUUUUGCGCGCGCGCGGGAAGACAGUUGUGCCGGCAAAGUGCGCGCGAGAAUUUCGCACAGAGGGGACACAAAGCCGUAAACAUGGGACCGUAUCUGCCAACAUUUUUUAUCGUCCAGCUAUAAGGGCGAACCGCGCGGCAGAGUGCGCCGAAAUUGUAUUUAUAACUUGGAGCCUCGGACAAUCGUGGAUGCACGUGUGCGCGCGUAUGCCAUGCACUUGCAGCGCGAGAUGUACGCGUCUGCAGGUACGCGCGCGCACGCAAAUAACGUACGCAUAUAUUACGCACUCGCAAUUCACCUCACGCUCCUCCGUUCCUUUAAUACCAAACCAGCGCACGUAUGCCCGCGCCGCGCCGGAGCGCGUCCUUAACGUGUAAGAAGAUUACUACUACGUACGUGAGCGCGAGCGAGAAACUAUGCUUGGAAACUAUUCCUCAUUCAGGCGCAUAGGUGUGUAGCACAUAUUAAUAUUAAGCGCAUACCGUGCAAACACGUGAGAGCGGGGCUUGGUCGCGUUACCGCUGGUGUGAUGCAAAGUGUCUCGGGAGUUACGCACUUUCCCUGGGGUACGGACUUGCGAAAGUCAAACUACGAGGCGCGAUUGUUUCAGUGUCAUCGAUAAUUUUCGGAUUAUCCGGCGUGAACUUUCGAGGAUUCUCGGUUAAGUCGAAGUUCAGACGCGCAAAUAACAAUUCUCUCGCUCUUUGCGCGUAAUUUAAACUCUUUCAGAGUCGCUGUCAGCGUCGUAUAAUAAAUCUUAAGCGUUUGGUUUUUUUUUUAAUCAUAAAUGAUACGAUAAGGACUCGUAUAUUUUGCGCUGCAACAGCUUUCUAAUUAGCGCGCUAAUUAGCGCUACAUCUAAACAUGCUCCAGCGGCGCAAAAUAAAACCUUAUGAAAAGUCCCGUUUAUAAAUCAGACUGCUCAAGCAAAAAACUUCUUUCGUUAAAUUGCACUUAUUAAGUUUCAUUUCACUGCACCUUUCAAUCAGUAACGAAAGCAAAUUUCAUAUUUAAGUACCUAAUAAUUUAGUAUCACGAUGAAAAGAAUCACUCAAAAAUUGCUUAGACUCUGGUGGAUUGAAUUUUUACUCUUAUUAAAGUUACAAAUCGCAGUGAAAAAUCGUACAGGCUCAAUUUUCGCUGUUUCACAGUGACGUUUCGCUCUACGAGAUUUAGAGGGUAGAUGGUGAAUUUCCGGUUCGUUCAAUUUUGAAUUUAUUCGAGACAAUUGAAUACUCGAGAGGAGAUACGUGUAUUCAAUUGUCUUGAAUAAACGAGGAAUAUACGAGUGCCUGUAUAUUCGCAAUUGCAUAUGUCCCGGCACUCAUGUAUAUCUAUAUAAUCGCAAAUGUAAUUGGUUCUAUACAUGGUCCAACGUCCUUAACGUUACACAUUACGCCGAAGCUUCCUCGGCGUUAACAGCAGUGCUCAGAUGCGAACGGUUGCGCGGCCUCGAGACGAUGGUCGAAGCCGUACAGGAUGUGUUGUGUAAACGCAGUUAACUACGGAAAAACUUGGCGAACUAACCGGCAUGGACCCGGUUGCAAUGCCGGGCCGGACUAGAACCACUUCAACUUCGGACGCAACGACGACGACGACGUCGACAAUCCCUCGCCAACCAGGACGUCCUCCGCGGCUCCAUUCUUCUCUCGCUCUCGUUUACGUCUCCUCCCGUGAUCACUCAGAUAAAGUUCUAUAUAUUUUUCCUUUCUUUACUUUUACAUUACGCCCGAUUUUGCACUUUUACGCUAUCAAAUUGUAAGGUACGCGCAAAUUUUCGUGAGAAAAUUUUGCUCGCAAGAAAUAUAUUGUAAUCAUUUGCGUACUAUUGAAAAUAUAAUGGAUAAUUUUAUAUGAUAUUUUAAUUAAAUAGUAAUAUCGUUCCUACAAUAUUAUUAUUGUAUAUUAUUUUAUGUUUAAAAUAUAAAAAACGCUACUACAUAUCCGAGAAUGCGCGUACGCUUGCGCGCGCUUGCGUUAUUUUUAUUGCAAUAUUUACGAUUAAAGUAAAAAACGGCUAUCGCUCUAGCUUUGAUACACAUAGAUUUGUAGACCGCGUAUCUCUGAAUGCACUGACGAUUAGCUUUAUAAAAUACCGCGACAGUAGUAAUGCGCUCCCGGCUGAAGGUAGAAACCGUGAAAGAGGGGAAAAAAAUAAAGGUGAUCCGACGAGUUUGUAAGCCGCGAUUUCUGAACAAUCCGCAAAAAUAAACGUGCGUGAAAUCUGCAUGCAUCGAGUUUACUCUGCAAACUCGCUACGCCCAAUGCCGUGCUCUUCAAAAUAUUUCACGCGUUUUAAUAGUGCACGGCAUGUACUCUCCUAUUAAAUUAAAAUAUUUGAGUUUACGCUGAUAAUUGCGAUUCGCAGAAAUUAUUCGGAAGAUCGAUGCACGUUCAAAAGUGAAAUGACAGUGAAAUGAGUCCUUUGGGGAAUUUACGAAAAGCUGAUUAUAUCCAGUUGUUUUCAGCAAAUAUACGGGAAACGUGACUGCAGCAUUUUACACCAUAUUUGUAUUAAUGCGUGAAAGUAAUUUCCCUCAAAUUACUGACAUUCGUAUGAAAUAUUGCUAAGUUUUCAAAAAAAUUGUGUUUAAUAAAUACUCUAUUUAUAGUAAAUCUCAUAACUGUGCGCCAUGAUAAAAAUUAAAUUGCUCUCGCUGGAUUUUCUGUUUGUCGAAAAAGCUGUUUUAAGCUGUUUAAGUCAAGCUCUCGUGUAGGAUCGAGAUUUGCGUGAGGAAAUUUUUCUCCCUUUCUCCGCCAAACAUUAUCGGGCUUUAUGAUAAAGGCAGACAACGUAUCGCCGGCGCAACACCGUAUAAAUCUACCACGUAUAGAUAAUAUUUCACAAUGCAUUAUUCAGAUUUUUCACAAAGCUUUAUAUGCUCCGCGGGGAAACCCUUCAGACGUUGCGAAGUGGGUAUACCGACUUGUGUAGAAAACACGUGACGUUAUAGCGUUUAUUUACGAGUCGACAUGCAAUGCGAAGUGAUUCCUUUUAUUGCCGGUCAAAUACCUCGAUUAUCGACACGAGAGAAACACGCGAUCUUAUCAAAUAAUUGAAAAACCGCACCGACGCACUUUCGAGAAGAUAUAGCCUCCGCGAUUGAGCUAACGAUUUCAAAGAAACGGAAUUAGGAUUCGCGCAUUUAAGUUAAAUGUUCAGGAAAAAUGCUUCUUUCCUUUUUUAUAUAUUUUUUGCAGGCGCUUAGCGUACUUAUAUGAAAUUAUUAAUUUACCUUAUUUUACCUUAAUUAAAUUUUGACAGCGGUCGUAGAAAAAUUUAUACUUUAUUAAUAUUUAACAUGAAAAAUAUGCAAAGUUAUAUGUUGUGGAAAAUUAAUCAAAUAAUGUGAUAGACGUUUGUUACAAUAUAAUUUGUGUGAACGAACAUAAAUAUUAAUAUAUUAAAUACAAAUGAAACAAAUUGUGUUUUUAAAUAAUGAUUUACAUGCGAAUGAGACGUAUGUCGAAAUAAUGCUUUUUUAUUUGCUUCCGCUUUUACAUCGCAAAUUAAUUUCAGUUAGUAUAUUGUGUAAAGUAACGGAAGGUAAUUUGUUUUCACGUUGAAUAUACAAUACACCCUGCGUUUUACGCAGGAUACAAUCCAGUAUAAGAAACAAUUAUGCCAACCUUGCUGUAUGUUAAGUCGAAAGAUAUCCGAGGGUGAGACCCUCCGAACAUUAAACCAAUGUUUAUUGGAGGGAGGCUGGGAGUAAAAGAUACUUGAAGCGACGAGUGUCCUUUAUUUCUCCGACGGUAAUACGAGAUAUUUGCUCGCUCGCAUUCCACGGCACGUGCCAUUAACGCCGACAAGAAUUUCCGUCCGCACGAUCUUUCCUCUGUGCGACGCAGAGGAGUGGUGGAGAGGAAAAACCAACCGGCAAUAUGCAGAUGAGUAUAUACGGGUAUGUACCUGAUAGCGUCGGAUUCGUCGCGGACGAGGAGCCGUCUUGGCGCAUGGCGUCACUGGUAAUUGCCGUUCCGCCGAGAUUGGUGCUGUAGUCUUCGAGAAGUACGCAGCACAGUAAUAGCCGUGCCACCCUCAUUCUGAAAGAACGAAAGAAAAGCUGAACGAGAAUAACAAACCCGCGCGUCAACUCGCAUUCCAUCUCCCUUUCUCUCUCCGCUUCGCUUCCUAUAUCUUAGAUUUUAUUACAAGGAAAUGCGAGGAAAUUUCUCAAUCUUUAUUGCAUUCGGAUACGAUUAAUCCGCGGUAAUUGUUGCAAGGCGGCAGUAUAUAUGACGCAAGAUAUUUUGGUAUAUUUUGAUUAAUACUCCAAAUGUGCAAUAAUUAAUUAAUUAAUUAAUUAAUCAUGAAUAUACAAAAUGAAUUGAAGCCGGACGAUAAUAGUGCAUGCUCGUGAAAUGUUUGCAAAUUAUUCCAAAAUGUUUAAAUGUACGUAUUAAAAUAAGCAAUGCGGUUGUUUAAAGAUGUUAUUAAAAUAUAGAGGUUUAUAUUACACGUAUUAUGUUUUCCCAACAUUGGAACCUUAAUUACAAUUAUCAGAGCUAAAGCUGUUUCAUCAGCAAGUGAGGGAUACAUAAACGUUUCCGAAGUUAUUGGAGAUGCUAGAGAGGCUUUCGUAUUUUCACGUUUCACGCAAAGCUUGGAAAAUAUUUUGUCCGGUACUAUAUCGAUUUAUAUGUCAAAAAGCCAAUUUUGGAAAAGCAAAACAACAUUUUAUUGAUGAUGAUACUUGAAAAAGCCCAGUUUUGAAAAUCUCACUGAAAUGGAUACAGUGCAUCUCGCGUGUCUCACUAUAUUUCAUAGUAUCUCGCUAUGUCUUUUUAUUUCUACGUGUCGUUGGAAUUGAUAAUAUAUUAUGUCUGCAACUCUCCGUGUGAAUUUUAAACAAAACGUACAGAUAGACACACGCAGAAAAGAAGUAGAAUUUAAGCUUGAUAGAAAGAAAUUUAAUUUUAUGCUAAUAUUUAUUUAAGCUAAUAAAAUUUUUUUUUUCUACAUAUUUUAUAAUGAAAAUCUCUCAGAGCUCAUUAAGCUAUUAAGAAAAUACGUGCGUUUAUAGGUAAUAAAUAGUUUUAUCUCUCUUAAAAACGACAAAAAAAAAAAAAUAAAAAAGGAAC